CACAUGCCAUAGGAUGAACCCAAGUGAGAUUAGCUAGUUGGUGGGGUAAUGGCCUACCAAGGCGUCGAUCUCUAGCUGGUCUGAGAGGAUGACCAGUCACACUGGGACUGAGACACGGCCCAGACUCCUACGGGAGGCAGCAGUGGGGAAUAUUGCGCAAUGGGGGCAACCCUGACGCAGCCAUGCCGCGUGAAUGAAGAAGGCCUUCGGGUUGUAAAGUUCUUUCGGUAAUGAGAAAGGGGUGCUGUUUAAUAGACAGCAUCAU
rnacentral:rRNA from 1 species